CAAGUCGUACGCGGGUGAGGGGCAACUCUCACCUGAGUGGCGAACGGGUGAGUAAUACAUCGGAACGUGUCCCGUAGUGGGGGAUAGCUCGGCGAAAGCCGGAUUAAUACCGCAUAUGCUCUACGGAGGAAAGCGGGGGAUCCGCAAGGACCUCGCGCUAUGGGAGCGGCCGAUGUCCGAUUAGCUUGUUGGUGGGGUAACGGCUUACCAAGGCGACGAUCGGUAGCUGGUCUGAGAGGAUGAUCAGCCACACUGGGACUGAGACACGGCCCAGACUCCUACGGGAGGCAGCAGUGGGGAAUUUUGGACAAUGGGGGAAACCCUGAUCCAGCCAUGCCGCGUGAGUGAAGAAGGCCUUCGGGUUGUAAAGCUCUUUUGGCCGGAAAGAAAAGGCUACGGAUAACACCCGUGGUCCUUGACGGUACCGGCAGAAUAAGCACCGGCUAACUACGUGCCAGCAGCCGCGGUAAUACGUAGGGUGCGAGCGUUAAUCGGAAUUACUGGGCGUAAAGAGUGCGUAGGCGGUCCCCCAAGUCCGCUGUGAAAGCCCCGGGCUUAACCUGGGAAUGGCAGUGGAAACUAUGGGACUUGAAUCUGGCAGAGGGGGGUGGAAUGCCACGUGUAGCAGUGAAAUGCGUAGAGAUGUGGCGGAACACCGAUGGCGAAGGCAGCCCCCUGGGCUGAGAUUGACGCUCAGGCACGAAAGCGUGGGGUGCAAACAGGAUUAGAUACCCUGGUAGUCCACGCCCUAAACGAUGACAACUAGGUGUUGGGGAAGCGAUUUCUCAGUACCGCAGCU
rnacentral:rRNA from 1 species